CAGUCGGUGGUAGAGUCUAAAUUCCACUGGUUCGUUUUAUGCGUGGCAUGUCGCUUGCGAAGUAGAUGGACAAACUGAGACGGACACCGAGCGAGAAAUCUGGAAACUUCAGAAGGACGUAUCGACGAGGGGGGGCGUUGCAGAUCAAGACUUACGAGAUAUUGCAGGGACCAUGUGGAUCCAAAAAAACUCGACAGUUGUUGAAAAAAAUGUAGUUUCGAUGAAUAAAAAGCUGGCAAGAAAAAAAAAAUGAAAAAAAAAAACCGAGACGCUGAUGGUCCCAGCGUGAAUUAAAGGAUUAAAUAAGAGGCGAUCGGUCCUGCAAAAUGGCAAAGUAGCCGAGAUGGAAUGCAGGGGGUUCUGGGUGGCACACCGAGUCUAGGAUUCUGGUCGGCGUCCGGUCGACCUUCGGGCCUUCGAUCGACGCCGAAUUCUGAAUGGCUCGUCGCAGCGGCGUCGGCGUGAUCGUUGUUGCCCGCACGUUCAUCCGACAUCCAUACCCUAGCUAACCUCGAAGAGGAAGACAACGGACGCCAGGGUAACGGUUAUCCCUCGCGGCGCUGGCGUUUCGAUCGCCUCGCCCCAGGGAAAGGAGCCAAGACUAAGGAGAAACUGCCAAAAAAGGGAACGCCCCCUCACUUUUCGAGUACAGGAAGCACCGUCUAUGUAUAAGCGGCUACGGUAUAUUCCUGCCCACCUUCCUCGUUCGUUCCCUUUAUCGCGGCGUAAAAACGUCUCGACGCAUGCUGCUUACUUCUUACUUACUUAUAUAUCUAACCUGCACGUAUUGACGUAGGCUGUAUAAUAUUAAUAAUAUACGGAUGCGGUAAAAGUAGCUAGGCGAAAUGCGAGAGGCGAGAAACAACUUCGCUCCUGCCUUUUUCUCACCAUUUCAUUGCGCGAGGAUCGAAAUGACCAGAUAUUAGGUAUGUUACACGAUAACGGUUACAUUCACGCUGCGUAUUUAAGAGACAGCCAGCUACUAUAAACCAGAAUUUGUAGGUGCAAUUCGAUCCGAUUGCCUGGAGAUGCAGCGAGGAUAUUGGGUAAAGAAUAUAGAAUUAACGUGUGAUAUUUUGCGGCGAUGACAUCACCGCAAUACGAAACUCGUCACGUAAACUUGUUCUAAAACCGUAUUCCUAGCUAAUUUUAUUUGCCAAAUGUCACAUGCACUCUGCACGUAAUCGUAUCACACGGAGAGUAUAAAAGACCAGAUUUUACUCAAAACUGCUGGAAAAAGAAGGACGCGUCAGAUUUUUUGGUAAAAUAUAAUAGUUAUAAUAAUAGGUUUUUGGUGAAAACCACUGUGUGCACAGAGUAACAUCUGCUACAUUUAUAGUAAAAAAUAUAGUUGACGGGGAAACUUUUCACCAAAUAACCUCAUGAAACGUCCCUCUUUUCCUGCAGUUUUGAGUAAAAUCUGCUCUUUUUCUUCUCUCCGUAUAGAACUUCCAAAAUAUGUAUAAUUGUCCGUCUUACAAGGUUCGACUGUAUAUUCGUUAAAAUCACUGUACAGUAUACUCCUGCUCAGGUCUCUGCGUUUACUGCACGCGGCACCCGGUAUACCACACGUGCAUAUCCCCCGAUCAAUUCGUAAUGUAUCAAACUUCCGGCGGGUUCAAAUCGAAUAAAGUUACUCCGGUUUAUACACACGGUAUGCGUAUACACCUAUAUUAACACAGUAAAUGACAGAGACAAUCGGCUUGUUUAUAAUGUUAUUACGAAGUAAUAUCUACCUAUAAUUUAUACACGUACACUUGGGGACAAUGAAUCUGAGACGGCUAAUUUUUCACACUAGAUAGUUAAGUUGGCAACACAGAGAUACCUACAGCGCCACAGUCGGUCGAGCGCGAAACAAACUCAAUCUCAAUAAACACAACAUAACCCAUGACUGUCGAAUCUAACCUUAAAAUACAUGUCAAUCUAACAAGUCAUUAUUCCCGCGGUAUUCUAAGGUGAGAUUCAACGGCCAUGGGUUACGUUACUUUUAUUGAAAUGGAGUUUGUUUCGCGCUCGGCCGACUGUGGCGCUGUAGGUUUCUCUGUGUUGCCAACCUAACUGUCUGGUGGAAAAAAUAAGCCAUCUCAGAUUCAUUGUCCCCAAGUGUACCUGCAACAUAUGUAAAUAUAUUUAAUAGUUUUUCAUUUGUAUACAUUAUUUUUAAUUUCAAUAUGUGACCAGAUAACGUACACGAUAUUAUUGGAUCUACCCUCAUUGAUCGAUGGAUAAAACUUUUUUGCCAUGGACAGAGAGGACUUUUAAGCGUACAAAAAUUACACUAGCCAACAUGGAAACCAAAAAUAGUGAUAUGCAACAUGCGAAGGGUGGAGUUCACCGUUCACCAUGACCCACCUACCUAUAGUAAUACGAGGGGCUGGGGUGACGACCAUGGGAAGACCCUUCGGACAGGGGGAGGAAUUGGGGCGAGGCCGAGAGCGUGGCUUCCAAAGGUUGAGGCGGGCACGGAAGUGGGUUAGAAAAUGUACCCCCUGUGCCAUAAAGUCUAUUAUGAUGUGUAAGAAUCACAGAACGUCGUGAUUUGUAUUCUUAUAAUGUAUUGUCGCAGCACCAUUGGAUUGAAAGUGAACUGGAAUUGUUAUACAAAUAUACACGAUGUAUCGACGUUAUUUAAUUAGACGAACAUAUAUGUAUAAUACACGUGUAUGUGUAUCUGACUGCAUCGUUUUAACAAUAUAACACAACCCAGGCAAAUGUUA